rnacentral:rRNA from 1 species
AACGAACGCUGGCGGCAGGCUUAACACAUGCAAGUCGAGCGCCCCGCAAGGGGAGCGGCAGACGGGUGAGUAACGCGUGGGAAUCUACCCAUCACUACGGAACAACUCCGGGAAACUAGAGCUAAUACCGUAUACGUCCUUCGGGAGAAAGAUUUAUCGGUGAUGGAUGAGCCCGCGUUGGAUUAGCUAGUUGGUGGGGUAAUGGCCCACCAAGGCGACGAUCCAUAGCUGGUCUGAGAGGAUGAUCAGCCACACUGGGACUGAGACACGGCCCAGACUCCUACGGGAGGCAGCAGUGGGGAAUAUUGGACAAUGGGCGCAAGCCUGAUCCAGCCAUGCCGCGUGAGUGAUGAAGGCCCUAGGGUUGUAAAGCUCUUUCACCGGUGAAGAUAAUGACGGUAACCGGAGAAGAAGCCCCGGCUAACUUCGUGCCAGCCGCCGCAGUAA